rnacentral:rRNA from 1 species
GCCUACGGGGGGCAACAGUGAGGAAUAUUGGUCAAUGGGCGAGAGCCUGAACCAGCCAAGUCGCGUGAGGGAGUACUGCCCUAUGGGUUGUAAACCUCUUUUGUCGGGGAGCAAAAGCCGGACGUGUCCGUCUGUGAGAGUACCCGAAGAAAAAGCAUCGGCUAACUCCGUGCCAGCAGCCGCGGUAAUACGGAGGAUGCGAGCGUUAUCCGGAUUUAUUGGGUUUAAAGGGUGCGCAGGCGGAUUUUUAAGUCAGCGGUCAGAUCGUGGGGCUCAACCCCAGCCAGCCGUUGAAACUGGGGAUC